GACGAACGCUGGCGGCGUGCUUAACACAUGCAAGUCGAACGGAAAGGCCCUGCUUGCAGGGUACUCGAGUGGCGAACGGGUGAGUAACACGUGGGUGAUCUGCCCUGCACUUCGGGAUAAGCCUGGGAAACUGGGUCUAAUACCGGAUAGGAGCCAUUUUUAGUGUGAUGGUUGGAAAGUUUUUUCGGUGUAGGAUGAGCUCGCGGCCUAUCAGCUUGUUGGUGGGGUAAUGGCCUACCAAGGCGGCGACGGGUAGCCGGCCUGAGAGGGUGGACGGCCACAUUGGGACUGAGAUACGGCCCAGACUCCUACGGGAGGCAGCAGUGGGGAAUAUUGCACAAUGGGCGCAAGCCUGAUGCAGCGACGCCGCGUGGGGGAUGACGGCCUUUGGGUUGUAAACUCCUUUCGCUAGGGACGAAGCUUUUUGUGACGGUACCUAGAUAAGAAGCACCGGCUAACUACGU
rnacentral:rRNA from 1 species